CCUACGGGUGGCUGCAGUGGGGAAUAUUGGACAAUGGGGGGAACCCUGAUCCAGCCAUGCCGCGUGUGUGAAGAAGGCCCUCGGGUUGUAAAGCACUUUCAGUGAGGAAGAACGCCUGGUGGUUAAUACCCAUCAGGAAAGACAUCACUCACAGAAGAAGCACCGGCUAACUCCGUGCCAGCAGCCGCGGUAAUACGGAGGGUGCGAGCGUUAAUCGGAAUUACUGGGCGUAAAGCGCGCGUAGGUGGCUUGAUAAGCCGGUUGUGAAAGCCCCGGGCUCAACCUGGGAACGGCAUCCGGAACUGUCAAGCUAGAGUGCAGGAGAGGAAGGUAGAAUUCCCGGUGUAGCGGUGAAAUGCGUAGAGAUCGGGAGGAAUACCAGUGGCGAAGGCGGCCUUCAGGACUGACACUGACACUGAGGUGCGAAAGCGUGGGUAGCAAACAGGAUUAGAUACCCCUGUAGUC
rnacentral:rRNA from 1 species